rnacentral:ncRNA from 2 species
AAGAGGGAACCCGGUGGGAAUCCGGGACUGCCCCGCAGCGGUGAGCGGGAACGACCGCCGUCAACGAGCACUGGAGCCCCGCGGCUCCGGGAAGCGACGGCCGGUAGGAACGCCCGUGCCCGCCACCCGGCACGGGACGCGCCCGCGAGUCCGAAGACCU